UGACUGCAGUUGCGACUCCUACUGAGAAGCAAAUCACAUCUUCGAGUUUCUUGUUUAUAAAAGACUUGUGGAGAAGGUUUCUGGGGAAAAACUGCCAAGCUCGUGAGCCAGAAGUGCUCUGAAGUCAUCAUGUAAAUAUGUGCCUGAUCAUGGGCCCAUGCCCUCCUGAGACCUGACUGCAAUACAAAAAAAGAAAUACAAAGAAGAAAGAAAUGCCAUUGACCGGGCCUGGACAGGGAGGCCACUUGCCUCAAGUGCAGCCAUGGGAGGCUGUGGGCCAUGGUACGCCAGAGGCCACGAGACACCAGAGCCACGUGCUGCUUGCUGGAUGUAAGCAGCGCAGAUGUCUCGUCGUGGAGGUGAUACGUCACUUGGGCCGGAGGGAUGGAAGCGUCACCUGCAUGUAGCUUCAUGGAAUAUGUUACACAAGCAGAGGUAAAAGCAAAUGAAAAAUAAUUAAAGAACAAAACCAGCAACAA